rnacentral:misc_RNA from 1 species
GAACGCAAAUUGCACUUUCUGGUAUUCCGGAAAGUAUGCCUGUUUGAGGGUCAGUUAAAUAAAAAUCGGUGUUGUUGCUGCCUUUCGUGGUGACGCGUCGGAAUUGGGUCGUCUUACCUUCGGUUAAGUGACUUAAAAUUUUGUACGAUUUUCGAACGUAUUUAAAUUGCUUACGUACGUUUGAGAUAUCGAAUGUUUAUUAGGUUCGGUCAUUCUCAUGACUCGCGCCUAUAAUUUUUCAUUAAAUGACCUCAAAUCAGGUAAGAAUACCCGCUGAACUUA